AAUUCUCAAUCCGUGUACUCGAUCUUGCCGUCGAGGCCAUGGCUUGGAUGUUUGGGGGUUGCUGGCCUUGUCGGCUCUCCUGAAAUGCAUUAGCAUGGGGUGGGCGAGUCUUUUCGACGUGCACGGCCUCUCGACGUGAUAAUGAUCGUCGUGGCUGGAGCGUCUGGACGAGCAUGCAUCGUUCCUUGCUUCGAACCUUGAUUUUCCUCUGUUCCCCUUGGACUGGGCUGCUGCUGCUAGUCGGCCGUGAGGCUGGCGAACGUACGUGCCGAGGGGGGAAGGGGGGGAGACUCUGGACGC
rnacentral:misc_RNA from 1 species